rnacentral:rRNA from 1 species
GACGAACGCUGGCGGCGUGCCUAAUACAUGCAAGUAGAACGCUGAAGGAGGAGCUUGCUUCUCUGGAUGAGUUGCGAACGGGUGAGUAACGCGUAGGUAACCUGCCUGGUAGCGGGGGAUAACUAUUGGAAACGAUAGCUAAUACCGCAUAAGAGUAGAUGUUGCAUGACAUUUGCUUAAAAGUUGCAAUUGCAUCACUACCAGAUGGACCUGCGUUGUAUUAGCUAGUUGGUGGGGUAACGGCUCACCAAGGCGACGAUACAUAGCCGACCUGAGAGGGUGAUCGGCCACACUGGGACUGAGACACGGCACAGACUCCUACGGGAGGCAGCAGUAGGGAAUCUUGGGCAAUGGACGGAAGUCUGACCGAGAAACGCCGCGUGAGUGAAGAAGGUUUUCGGAUCGUAAAGCUCUGUUGUAAGAGAAGAACGAGUGUGAGAGUGGAAAGUUCACACUGUGACGGUAUCUUACCAGAAAGGGACGGCUAACUACGUG